rnacentral:misc_RNA from 1 species
AAUUUUUCCUUUUUUGGAUGUCCAUUGAGAUUAUUGUGCUUUCUCUCACAGUCUCACUCACAAAAACACACAUCUUGAUCUAAAAAAUCUAAAUUCCUUGGGAUUACAUCGCGUAUUUUUCGCUGUUUCCGCGUACCCACCUACCAAAAGUCGUUGCUUUCCCUUCCUUUCUCAUAAACCUCUCUGCCACAACCCUCAAGUCUCACCCCUUAUACAGAAAAGAGGC